rnacentral:rRNA from 1 species
GACGAACGCUGGCGGCGUGCUUAACACAUGCAAGUCGAGCGGUAAGGCCUUUCGGGGUACACGAGCGGCGAACGGGUGAGUAACACGUGGGUGAUCUGCCCUGCACUUCGGGAUAAGCCUGGGAAACUGGGUCUAAUACCGGAUAUGACCUCCUAUCGCAUGGUGGGUGGUGGAAAGAUUUAUCGGUGCAGGAUGGGCCCGCGGCCUAUCAGCUUGUUGGUGGGGUAAUGGCCUACCAAGGCGACGACGGGUAGCCGACCUGAGAGGCUGACCGGCCACACUGGGACUGAGACACGGCCCAGACUCCUACGGGAGGCAGCAGUGGGGAAUAUUGCACAAUGGGCGAAAGCCUGAUGCAGCGACGCCGCGUGAGGGAUGACGGCCUUCGGGUUGUAAACCUCUUUCAGCAGGGACGAAGCGCAAGUGACGGUACCUGCAGAAGAAGCACCGGCUAACUACGUG